rnacentral:rRNA from 1 species
UACGUAGGGUGCAAGCGUUACUCGGAAUUAUUGGGCGUAAAGCGCAUGUAGGCGGCUUUGCAAGUUUGAUGUGAAAUCCCUGGACUCAAUUCAGGAACUGCAUUGAAUACUGCAUGGCUAGAGUAUGAGAGAGGUAGGCGGAAUUCCUGGUGUAGAGGUGAAAUUCGUAGAUAUCAGGAGGAACAACAGAGGCGAAGGCGGCUUACUGGAUCAUAGCUGACGCUGAGAUGCGACAGUGUGGGGAGCAAACAGG